UACGUAGGUGGCGAGCGUUGUCCGGAUUUAUUGGGUUUAAAGGGUGCGUAGGCGGCUUAUUAAGUCAGUGGUGAAAUAUCGCAGCUUAACUGUGAGGGUGCCAAUGAUACUGAUGAGCUUGAGUGAAGUCGAGGUAGGCGGAAUUGACGGUGUAGCGGUGAAAUGCUUAGAUAUCGUCAAGAACACCAAUAGUGAAGACAGCUUACUAGGCUUGAACUGACGCUGAGGCACGAAAGUGUGGGGAUCAAACAGG
rnacentral:rRNA from 1 species